rnacentral:rRNA from 1 species
GAUAAACGCUGGCGGCGUGCUUCAUGCAUGCAAGUCGUACGCUUCACCGCAAGGUGAGGAGUGGCAAACGGGUGAGUAACACGUAAGUAACUUGCCCCGAAGUGGGGGAUAACACUUCGAAAGAAGUGCUAAUACCGCAUGUCGUCCCUUCGGUAAUGCGGCGGGUCUAAAGCCGUAAGGCGCUUUGGGAGAGGCGUGCGUCUGAUUAGCUAGUUGGUGGGGUAAUGGCUCACCAAGGCGAUGAUCAGUAGCGGGUCGGAGAGGACGGUCAGCCACACUGGGACUGAGACACGGCCCAGACUCCUACGGGAGGCAGCAGCAAGGAAUUUUGUACAAUGGGCGAAAGCCUGAUACAGCGACGCCGCGUGAGGGAUGAAGGCCUUCGGGUUGUAAACCUCUUUUCUCAGGGAUGAAUAAUGACAGUACCUGAGGAAUAAGUCACGGCUAACUACGUGCCAGCAGCCGCCGUAAAAC